UACAGAGGUCUCAAGCGUUGUUCGGAAUUACUGGGCGUAAAGGGUGCGCAGGCCGCGCGGGUAGUCAAAUGUGUAAUCCAGGGGCUCAACCCCCGAACUGCGCUUGAUACUUCCGUGCUAGAACUUUGGAGAGGAGUCUGGAAUUCUCGGUGUAGCAGUGAAAUGCGUGGAUAUCGAGAGGAACACUUAGGGCGAAGGCAAGACUCUGGACAAAUGUUGACGCUCAUGCACGAAGGCUAGGGUAGCGAACGGG
rnacentral:rRNA from 1 species